rnacentral:rRNA from 1 species
ACGGGUGAGUAACGCGUAUGCAACCUACCUAGUCAGGAGGGGAAUAACCCGGCGAAAGUCGGACUAAUACCGCAUAAAAACAGGGGCACCGCAUGGUGAUAUUUGUUAAAGAAAUUCGCUGAUAGAUGGGCAUGCGUUCCAUUAGGUAGUUGGUGAGGUAACGGCUCACCAAGCCGACGAUGGAUAGGGGAACUGAGAGGUUGGUCCCCCACACUGGUACUGAGACACGGACCAGACUCCUACGGGAGGCAGCAGUGAGGAAUAUUGGUCAAUGGGCGGGAGCCUGAACCAGCCAAGUCGCGUGAAGGGAAAAGAAGGAUCUAUGGUUCGUAAACUUCGUUUUGCAGGGGAAUAAAGUGCAGGACGUGUCCUGUUUUGUAUGUACCCUGAGAAUAAGGAUCGGCUAACUCCGUGCCAGCAGCAGC